CAGGAUCUUGAGCCAGUUGGGGGACAGGGAAACAGGGUUAGAAAAGCAAGCCUCUAGUACCAGAAGACAUGGUAUGACAAAUUUUGGAGCUUAUACUCUGUAAUCGCUAAUGUCUGGCUUGCUUAAAUCAUCGAAAUGGUGUAAUGUGGUUAAUAUUUUGAAAACAAUAGAUGUGCUUUAUAUUUUCCCUCUGACUACAAAGGUAGUGUAUACUAUGGUUAUAGUCAUAAAGUUAACCAAAGACAAUAGAAUUUUAUUGCAGUAUAUAUAUAUAUGUGUGUGUACAUACAUAUAUGCAUAUAAUUGUCUAAUUAGUGUCAUGUAUGCUAAUGUGUUGGAUUCUGUUUACCAUUUAGCUACCAUUUGGGGUUACCAUUUUGUAUAUCAAUUGCUUUUCUUGUAAUUUGCACAGAGCAAAUUUCUGAAAUUAAAGGCUAUCAACUAGCCAUUCAUUAAAGCCUUUGCUUUAACUGCCUAACAGUUUUUCAGACUUCUAGGAAUUGCCACAGAAAACAAGUGCAUUUGUCACUAUCUUGCCAAAAUUUAGCUUUUUAAAAAAUCUGACAACUUUAAUAGACAAAAUAUGUGGGUUUAAUUUACUAACUUUGUGUUGUUUUUUUCAAGGUAGGCAUUUUUUCAAUUCUAGCUACGGGAUGGAGAGAAUAUAAGGUGAAAAGAGAGGGGAAGUGGAUCCCUUUGAGCAAUAAGUAACAGUUUCCUAAAGCUGAGGAACAGCAAAUAAGUCGGAUGUGGGGUUGCCAGUGCUAUCAUUGGUGUCUCAACGUCAGUCGUCUGCUUUUCCCGGGUUCUCCACCCCUUCCUUGGAAACGGGGCCUCGCUCCUCGGAAGUGCCCACUAGCCCCGCCCCCCCAGCUUCCGCCUCGCGGUUGCUAGGCUACCGAGGCCCUCGCGGGAAGCUGUGGCUGGUGAGCUCCUUGAGCGCUUCCUCUGCCUGGUGCGCGGCGGGUCCUUUACCCGCGGGCCGUGCCCUGCGCCUCGCUCAAGCUCCUCUGCCGCGGCAGGCGCCGCGCCCACCCCUGCUGCUCCGGACGAGCCGGGCCUCUAUCUUCGUAGGAAAUCUCCACACCCCCUCCGCGACUCUUCGAGAACCUGCGCUUAGCCACCUUCUGGACCAGGAAGUCCUGAAACCCCGAAUUCCAUGUUCAGAGCCCACUCUCCAGGCCCUUGACCUUUCGUUCCCAUCUACCGCGAGACGACUCUUCUGGAUCCUUCAUCCCCUUUUCUCUUACUUUCCUGCGGCGUCCUGGUGGGGGGCCUCUCCCUUAUCUGGGAGAAGGAAGCAUGGGACCAGCAGAGGUCCAGGCACCUCGAGAGAAGGAUACUGGAAGACACGCCGCCCUCCCCAACUCUUCAGCCUCUCCUGUAUAAUCAGCUGCCCUUUUGGAAACGGUAGCGGUUGUGCCUGGCUGCCCGUGUCACUGACUGGUCUUCAGCAUACCAUGCAGAAGUAACAUGUUCCCAGCAUUGGAAACCGAGCUAAAGCAGAAGAUUCUUCCUGAUCCUUACGAAGACUUUAUGUACCAUCACCUCCAGUACUAUGGCUAUUUUAAAGCUCAGAGAGGCAGUUUACCAAACUCUGCUACGCACCAGCACGUUUGGAAGAAUAAUAAUCCUCGAUACCUACUGAGUGGCUCUUUGGGAAAAAGAGAUGAUUUGAUACUGGACCCGUUGCAAAAGGAGAAGCGUCUAUGGCCUGGCUGUCUACCUUCAGCUGUGCACAGACAGAUGGAAGCUGUGAGCAGAGAUUCUCUUAUGCUGAGUUCACCACUUCUUAAGAGCAGACAGCUUCUUCACGAUGAGUUUGGCAAAGUAAACCUGCGUCUUCGAGAACCCCGAAGUCUCUUUGCCUUUUUCUCUGGCAGCGGGCCACUGCAGGCUCCAAGGUGGCCAGUGGAAUGUGAGGUCAUCAAGGAGAACAUUCAUCACAUUGAGUGGGUUCCACCUCAACCAGAACAUUUCUAUCAACCUACGGGAAGUGAAAAGAUACCAAAAAUUGUAGGAGAGGAAGGAGGCACAGUUGUCUAUCAGUUAGAUUCAGUGCCCACGGAGGAUUCCUAUUUCACCCGUUCCAGAGUGGGAGGCAAACGAGGGGUUAUCAAGGAACUCGCUGUCACCUUGCAAGGACCAGAAGAUAACACUCUACUGUUCGAAUCGAGGUUUGAGAGUGGGAACCUGCAAAAAGCUGUCAGAGUAGACACCUACGCGUAUGAACUCACCUUGCGAACUGACCUCUACACAAGAAAGCACACGCAGUGGUUUUAUUUCCAAGUUCAGAACACCAGAAAGGAUGCCACCUACCGUUUCACCAUCGUCAACUUGCUAAAGCCCAAGAGCCUUUACACUGUCGGGAUGAAGCCGCUCAUGUAUUCCCAAUUGGAUGCCAAGACCCACAGCAUCGGCUGGAGGAGGGAAGGAGAUGAAAUCAAGUACUACAGGAACAACACGGGUGAUGGGCAGCAGCCCUUGUACUGUCUCACGUGGACCAUUCAGUUUCCACAUGACCAGGACACCUGCUUCUUUGCACACUUCUACCCUUAUACGUACACCGACUUGCAGUGCUACCUACUGUCGGUGACAAACAACCCUGUCCAGUCUCAGUUCUGCAAACUCCGAACUUUAUGCCGGAGCCUAGCAGGAAACACCGUCUACCUGCUCACCAUCACCAACCCAGCCCGCACCCCUCAAGAGGCAGCUGCGAAGAAAGCUGUGGUCUUGAGUGCCAGAGUGCACCCCGGGGAAAGUAACGGCUCCUGGAUCAUGAAGGGCUUUUUGGACUUCAUCCUGAGCAACUCCCCAGACGCCCAGCUCCUCAGAGAUAUCUUCAUCUUCAAAGUGGUUCCCAUGUUAAAUCCAGACGGGGUGAUCGUGGGGAAUUACCGGUGUUCGCUGGCCGGAAGGGACUUGAACAGGCAUUAUAAAACCACUCUGAAGGAGUCUUUCCCCUGCGUCUGGCACACCAGGAACAUGAUCAAGAGACUUCUUGAAGAAAGGGAGGUUCUCUUGUAUUGUGAUUUCCAUGGCCACAGCCGUAAGAAUAACAUCUUCCUGUAUGGCUGCAAUAACAGCGAUCGCAAAUUCUGGCUUCAUGAGCGAGUCUUUCCUUUAAUGUUAAGCAGAAAUGCACCAGAUAAGUUCUCUUUUCAUAGUUGUAAUUUUAAGGUGCAAAAGUGCAAAGAAGGAACAGGACGUGUUGUGAUGUGGCGGAUGGGAAUCCUAAACAGCUAUACCAUGGAGUCUACCUUUGGCGGAUCCACCCUGGGCAAUAAAAGAGACACUCACUUCACCACUGAGGAUCUAAAAUCCCUAGGUUAUCAUGUCUGUGACACCCUUCUGGAUUUCUGUGAUCCUGACCGAACCAAGUUCAUGCAGUGUCUAGCAGAGCUUAAGGCGCUCUUACAACAGGAAAUCCAUAAGAAAUUCAAAGAUACGGAUUUAGAAGGAAGUUGGAGUGACAUCUCUUUGUCUGACAUUGAAUCCAGUUCUGCAUCUCAGGUACAAAAUAUUGAGUAAAUCAUGGCAACUUAGUACACUUCAUUCCUUCAACGACUAUGGAUCAAGUGCCUGUUCUCUGACAGCUUUUUUUCUAGAAGCUGGAAAGGGUUAGGGAGAUGCACAGGCAGGUAAUGUAUUGCUUUUAGGCAAUUGUGAAGCCUUUGUCUUUUACUCCAAGGGAGAUGCAAAGCCUUUAGGGGGGUUUAAGUAGAGAAAUAUCAUGACCUGACUUAGGUUUUAGUUUCAGUAGGAAUACUGAGGCUGCCAUGUGGAAAAUAGAUUGUAAAGAGGAAAGUCUAAGCAGGGACACUCAUUAGAAGGCUGUUGUAAUACUAUGGGAGAAAGGUGAUGGUGGCUUAGACUCAAGCAGUAGUGCUUGAGGUAUGGGAAUUGGUUGGAUUCUAGAUAUAUUUUGAAGUUUCAAACAUUAAGAUUUGCUUAUGGAUUGGAUGUGGGACAUGAGAGAAAAAGAGAAUGACUCCAUAAUCAGUUGGAUGGAGUUGCCUUUAACUGAGAUGGUGAAGAUGAAGAGGGUGGAGAAGGUUGGGGGGUGGUGAAGAUAGGAAUCUCACGUUGGGCGUGUUCAGUUUGAAGUGUCUAUUAGAUGUCUAAAUGGAGAUGCUGAAUAGGCAGUUGGCUAUAUGAGUCUGGAGUUCAGUGGAGAGAGGUCUAGUGGAGAGAGUCGUCACAGGAUAGAUGAUAUUUAAACCUUAAGAGUAGCUGAGAUCCCAAGAGAAUAAGUGUAGGCAGAGUAAAGAAGUGAUCUAAGUCUGAACUGGGUACCAUAGCUGUAAGAGGUUAAAGAGACAGAGAGGAGCCAGCAAAUGAAUCUAAGAAGGAACCAUCAGGACCAAAAGAAAACCAGGAGAGUGAUUAUUUUAAAAUAAAUCAGAUCAUGUCAUCCCUCUGUUUAAAACAUCUUAGCAUCUCCCCUGUUUCACUCAGAUUAAAAGUCAAAGACCCUACAAUGGCCUACAAGACUAUAGGAUCUAGCCACUUGAUACCUCUAUGAUCGCCCUCACCCUCUCACACACUGCUACAGCUACACUGGCCUCCUCACGCUUCCUCACACUUUCCAGGUCCUCUCCUACCUCAGGGCCUUUGCACUGGCAGGUCCAACUGUUCUUCUCCCAGAUAUUCACAUGGCUGAUACCCUCACCUCCUUCAAGUCUUUGCUUAAUCAUCAGCUUUUUCAAUAUGGCCUACUCCUCAUUACUCUAAUACUGCAACUUGCUCCCCUGCCUUUGCCCUCCUGCCAGUCCUCAUCCCCUUUACAUGCUCUGCUUUUUUCCAUAGACACACCUUCUGUUGUGUCUAUUAUUUAUUGUCUGUCUCCCCUACAAGGUCAGGGAUUUUGUUCAUCUCAGUCACUUAGAAGAGUACCUGGCAUAUAGGGAGAGCUCAGUAAAUACUUGCUGAAUUCAUUUAGUGUGUAGGGUCCCAGCCCACUCUCGCAGUCUCCACAGCUAUUUUAGGACACCCCUAGGAGGGGGAGUAUUUUAUAGGCGUGCCAGAACACCUUCUACUCCAGCUUACUGGCCCGGGUGCCUCAAGCCUGCCCCACUGUCCUCAGUCAGAAGCGGGGGCCCUAAUGUGGUUCUGCUGGCUAAGUCUCCCAAAUGUCUCUUUAGGAACCUUAAACCAGACCAUCAGGCCAGGUAGGGUGCCCGAUUCACCUUGUUGCCUCUUCCACUCUCCCAGAAGCCUUUGCCUAACUCAUUAGGACCACCACACCAACCCGUCUUUGCUUUCAGCCUCAAAAACAAAAUGCUCCCUGCAUAUCCGCUCAUACCCAUAGGGCCCAGGGACAACCAACUCAGAAACAGCCUAACUGCACUCUAAGUGGCUCAGCGGGGAUGCUCAGAUGCAUCUAGUUAAGAAUUAUUGAAACCAAUUCGCCAGCCUCUGCAUCAGGAAGCUGGCUACCAUGGGCCUCCACGGGGCUCCACCUGUCCCUUCUCACAGUCACACGGGAGAUCAGAGUGUGCGUGCGCCAGCCCAGCUUGGGUUUGCUGUAUGUGUGUGCACAUACGUGGUUUUCAACAUUUUCUGGAGCAUACUGCAUCUGAUGCUUUUAUCCCAUUUAUUAAAGUUUUCUGUUGUCUCCAACAGGGACUGCAGAGGCUGUUAUCCAGUGGCUUCAAAGGCUGCUCAGACUGGAAAAGCCUUGUGAGAACAGGGAAUUGGGAAUUAGAUCAGAGACAAGAGGGCUUUCUUCCCGUUGUCUUGCUGUGGGGCUCCAUAUUGUGCCCUGAUGGGGGUGGGGGAGCAUGAACAGAAUGAAAGGGCUGAGCAAAAGAACAGUUUGAAAUGCUGUCUUUUCCCAGGAGAUUUGAGUUUUGUGCCUAAGACACAUUUUUAUAUAUGGAGGACAUGUCAUAGGGCAGAGCUUUCAGUUCUAGCCAACCACACCCCGGGAAAGGGGAAAAUACGAUGUGACACAUAAGCAAAGGACACGACGCAGGAAGAAAUGACAGAUUAUCUGAGUCCUCACUCGUCCUCAUCUUUGAAGAGAGGGGGAGGGGACAGUUUGUGGAGGAGACUUUAGAUCCUUCUGGACAUGCACGCAAAUCUUCUGAAGGGGGAAUUGAGGUGAUAAAAGUAAUACUCCUAAUCUGUGACCUACAGAUUCUUUGUUAUUAAAUAUAUGUAUUUGUAUAUUCAACACAUUUUUAAAGAGUCUCUGGGAGGAUCCUUGCUCUCUGAACUGGUACCAGUCAGACAGGAAUGAACGAGGCAAAGCCACUGCUUUCAGACAAGUCUCAGCCCCCUGGUAUCCUCUAGGGCUGCUCCUUAAGCCUCUUCCAGCCUCUCACAGUCACUGCCAGGGGCAGCUUUGCCCAUCUAGCCGGUGUUUCUUUUGCCACUUGGUUCACCUCUGUUUCCUGUGCCUGGUGCACUGCCUGGCAUGAGGGAGGUGUUUAGAAUGAAUGAAUGAAUGAAUAUGCUUGGCCGGAAUUCUUAGUAAUUGAAACACAGACAGUGUAGGCAGGUAACAGACUAGGUCCCCUAAUCCCAUGCAGCUGGUCUGGUAAAUGUUUACAUCCUAGACGUGGUAACAGGUAUCUCCCUUUUUCCUUUCCUAUUGGAAACAGCACCAGUGGUUCUGACAGCUCCCUCUCAGACGGCCUCCCUGUUCACCUACUGAACAUAGCAAAUGAGUUGAAUCAGAAGAAGAAGAAGAUGUAUAAGAAGAAAAAACGGAAGCCACUUCAGUCUAGGAAACAGCGAAAUAUACAG